AGGAUAAACGCUGGCGGCGUGCCUAACACAUGCAAGUCGAACGCGCUUUUUCGCAAGAGGAGAGCGAGUGGCGGACGGGUGAGUAACACAUGGGUACCUACCUUGGAGUGAGGGAUACCGGCGAGAAAUCGCCGACAAUACCGCAUACGCUUCUCUUCACCGGGAAGCAAAGUUGCGCAAGCGACGCUCUGAGAUGGGCCUGUGGCCGAUUAGCUAGUUGGUGGGGUAAGAGCCUACCAAGGCGACGAUCGGUAGCUGGUCUGAGAGGACGAUCAGCCACACUGGGAUUGAGAACGGCCCAGACUCCUACGGGGGCAGCAGUGAGGAAUUUUCCGCAAUGGACGCAAGUCUGACGGAGCAACGCCGCGUGCAGGAUGAAGGUUUUCGGAUCGUAAACUGCUUUUCUCGGGGACGAGCAAGGACGGUACCCGAGGAACGAAGCCCCGGCUAACUACGCGCCAGCAGCCGCGGUAA
rnacentral:rRNA from 1 species